GCAACUCGCCUGCAUGAAGUCGGAAUUGCUAGUAAUCGCAGAUCAGCAUGCUGCGGUGAAUACGUUCCCGGGCCUUGUACACACCGCCCGUCACGCCAUGGGAGUCGGUAACACCCGAAGUCGGUAGCCUAACCGUAGGGAGGGCGCCGCCGAAGGUGGGAUUGAUGACUGGGGUGAAGUCGUAACAAGGUACC
rnacentral:rRNA from 1 species